GGCUUGUACACACCGCCGUCACACCAUGGGAGUGGGCUGCAAAAGAAGUAGGUAGUUUAACCUUCGGGAGGACGCUUACCACUUUGUGGUUCAUGACUGGGGUGAAGUCGUAACAAGGUAGCGCUAGGGGAACCUGGCGCUGGAUCACCU
rnacentral:rRNA from 1 species